GGAGUCGGCCAGGCAAUCGCUGCGCCCGCGAGGGCGUGGAGGAAAGUCCGGGCUCCAUAGGGUGCGGCGCCAGGUAACGCCUGGGGGGCGCGAGCCCACGGAAAGUGCAACAGAAAACACACCGCCCAAGCGCGCGAGCGCGACGGCAAGGGUGAAAUGGUGCGGUAAGAGCGCACCGCGUCGACGGCAACGGCGACGGCACGGCAAACCCCGCCCGGAGCAAGGCCAAAUAGGGAAGCAGGCGGCGCAAGCCGCAGCGCGCGGCCCGCGCGUGCUUCCGGGUAGGCCGCUCGAGGUGCGCGGUGACGCGCAUCCCAGAAGAAUGAUUGCCCACGACAGAACCCGGCUUACCGGCCGACUCCCGCC
rnacentral:RNase_P_RNA from 1 species